rnacentral:rRNA from 1 species
GGAUGACUCUCGGCAACGGAUAUCUCGGCUCUCGCAUCGAUGAAGAACGUAGCGAAAUGCGAUACCUGGUGUGAAUUGCAGAAUCCCGUGAACCAUCGAGUCUUUGAACGCAAGUUGCGCCCGAGGCCAUCCGGCUAAGGGCACGCCUGCCUGGGCGUCACGCUU